rnacentral:rRNA from 1 species
CCUACGGGUGGCAGCAGUGAGGAAUAUUGGUCAAUGGCCGGAAGGCUGAACCAGCCAUGCCGCGUGAAGGUCAGUGCCCUAUGGGCGUUAAACUUCUUUUGUGCGGGAGCAAUAAUGGUCACGUGUGGCCAGACGAGAGUACCGUACGAAUAAGCAUCGGCUAACUCCGUGCCAGCAGCCACGGUAAUACGGGGGAUGCAAGCGUUAUCCGGAUUUAUUGGGUUUAAAGGGGGCGUAGGCUGUGAGGUAAGUCAGCGGUGAAAUGCCCCCGCUCAACGGGGUGAAGUGCCAUUGAUACUGCCAUGCUGGAAUGCGGAUGAGGUGGGAGGAAUGUGUGGUGUAGCGGUGAAAUGCGUAGAGAUCACGCAGAACACCGAUUGCGAAGGCAUCUCACGGAUCCGCGAUUGACGCUGAGGCACGAAAGCGUGGGUAUCAAACAGGAUUAGAUACCCUAGUAGUC